rnacentral:lncRNA from 1 species
CUUAAAUUACACAAAAUUAUCAUUACACCCUUGUGAUGAAUUUGGAUGUAAUAUUGUCAGUCACUGUUGGGCAUCCAGACUGUCUUGAAGGGACCCAGCAACCUGCCUGUAAUCUGGCGGGUAAACAGUGUUUGGCUGCAGCCCAGUCCCUGCACAGCAUUUUGAUCACACUCCUGUGACAGGGAACACCUGUGGACGACUGCUGAAGAUAAGACUUGUCAAGCACGCUGAGAAGCAGCAUAGUCCCUGCAUACCAAUGGCCUGGAGGACAAACAGCGUCUCAAGGUAAUUCUAUUCUGAAGGCCUUUUCACCAACAUGGGUGCUGGAAUUUUAAUUAGCUCUGUUAAUGUGGAUGAUUAAAUCAACCUGGCACUGGUAAUCUCUGAGCAAAGAAAAGAGCUGAAAUAAUCCUGCGCAGAGAUAUUCCCUCCCUGCUCGUCUUUUGACAAUUUCCGUGUUGCCUGGAGUGCAUACUGUAUGACACAUUUGGAUUCAAGAUGAAAUGCAGCCGUUAUUUGUUUCAGCUCA